UACAGAGGUCUCAAGCGUUGUUCGGAUUCAUUGGGCGUAAAGGGUGCGUAGGCGGCGCGGUAAGUCGGGUGUGAAAUUUCGAGGCUUAACUUCGAAACUGCAUUCGAUACUGCCGUGCUUGAGGACUGGAGAGGAGACUGGAAUUUACGGUGUAGCGGUGAAAUGCGUAGAUAUCGUAAGGAAGACCAGUGGCGAAGGCGGGUCUCUGGACAGUUCCUGACGCUGAGGCACGAAGGUCAGAGGAGCAAAACGGGG
rnacentral:rRNA from 1 species